UACGGGGGGUGCGAGCGUUGUCCGGAAUCACUGGGCGUAAAGGGCGCGUAGGUGGUUUGAUAAGGGUGUGGUGAAAGCCCGGGGCUCAACUCCAGAACUGCCUUCGAUACUGGCGAUCUUGAGCCCGGAAGAGGUGAGUGGAACUCCUAGUGUAGAGGUGGAAUUCGUAGAUAUUAGGAAGAACACCAGUGA
rnacentral:rRNA from 1 species